GGGAAGAAUGUAGUGAUGAGGCCCCCAUCUAACAUAGAAGGAGUCUUCCCCAACCAUUUGCUCCGAAACAGUCCAAAGAGAAAAGGGGCUUCGAGUUCCCCGAGCUCGAUAGAGCAAAAGCCAAAGAAAAGCCAAGCCUGUAAACCCAAAGGGGGUACCAUCGCUCUAUCCUUGGACGCUGUCUGUAGGCUAAGGGACGAGUCCGAACAUGAAGAAGAAGUGAAAUCCAAUCUGAUAGUCCGUGUGCGGGCUGGUGCUUUGAUACAAAAUCCCUCUGUGCCGUAGUAGGUUAAUGAGGGAGCUUCGACCGAGGUUCCUGAGCUAGAAAGAGUUGCGGCCACUCCAUCCCGGCUGAGAUAGUCGAGAGAGAGACAUGGGUCAAGGCUUCACAAGCGGUGGAAGAUGUUUUGAGGGAUGAUCUUGGUGUGAUCGAUAUUUUUGGUCCCUUGAGAUUUUGGACGCCACGAUCUGUGAGGCUAAUAUGUUGGAAAAUGGUCCUUGAGAGGGUGCUCAGGGAACGGUCAAUAUUCACAGCUUCUUAGAUGGUGUCAAGUUCGAUGCUUUGAAGGAUGUCACCGAACUUGGUGACUUACCGGUGACGAAGAAAGCACCAUCCCCAGUUGUUACAUGUUCCUCUAGAUGGGCCUAUCUACCUAUGCAUCUUAAUUAACCACAUUCACGACAAACUAAUUCAACUUGCUUUUAUGUAAAAUUCAGAAUUUAAUGAUCAGAGUGCAGUUUUAGUUCAAAAGAUAACCAUGCGGUUAUCAACAUAAACAGAGCAUACAUUUAUACUAUGAUUUAUAAUAAAAGAGAACUCCAACAACUGAAUCAAAUUUUUGGGCUUAGGGCCAAGGGCCAAUGGCCUAGGCCUAGAUUCAAAAGGGCUUCAGAUUCAGCCCUCUUUAAAGAAAGAACAUCCCUUUUGUCCUUACAAAAUGGGCUCAUAACCUGGCCCAUUACACCAUUAUUGUUUAUGAAAAUAUAACAACAUAAUUAAACUCCUAAAGUAGCUGUUGUGAAUGAAAUUAAAGCCUAGUUCAUUACAAUGUUCAAAACAUAAAAUAAGAAAAAACUUUCAAAAUCAACACAUUGCAUUAUAAUUUAUUAAAUACAUAAGCUAACUACAUUAACAACUAAUGUAUUACAAUUUUUGUAGAACUAGCAACCUGAAAAAUUCCUGCCUAUUUUGGACAAAAUUAGUCCAUCAAAUCUUGGUCUCUCUCAUGUUAAAAAGUAGGAACCCAAUUUUCCAGCUUUUGAGUCUGCUGAUUUGGCCAACUAGUGACCAAAACUGCAGGUACUAGCCCAUGGUUUGCCAACAUCCUUAAGUGAUAUUAAGGAGAUAACAUAUUAUUCAUUUAAAAUAAAGAAGAGAAGAUAGCAUGACUUUAAUAAAAACAGCAUUCAAGAUCAGCUUUAAAACAUAUAGCAUUUGGCUAAUAGAAAUAGACCAAAUAGUGAGAGUCAUGUUGAUUCCUUUCUAUGUUAAAAAAUAAAUUCAAUUUUAUUCAUAUCAAGCCAAUCAAACAUCAUAUAAAACAUUGUACAUGUAUUACAAGCUCAUUAAUAGUAUAUCAUUUCAGAAAAAACCAACAGUAUAUGAGGAAGAAAUGAAGGCAGUAUCUCGAAUAAACAACAAUAAGAAACCAACAAUUAUAAGAUGAAAAACUGGUUGAAAGCUCAAAAGAAAAUGAGCGGCAACAGAAACCAGAUAGCCAGCAACCAAAAAUCAAAACCAAACUUCAACAACAUCUAACCACACUAAAACCCCAAAGAGAAACCAAGAAGCUUUCACUUUCAAACCAUAUUUUCAGCUUAAGAAGACUAGAAGAAAUCAGGGAGGUCUUUGACUAUUUUUUGCUAAAUCAAAUAUCAAAGGAAUAUCAGCUUUUAAGAACACAAUAGCUGGAAUUUUAAGAGUGUUUUUCAAGGUUUUCCAUCUUAUUUUCUAUAAGAAAAGGUACUAUAUAUAAGCGCCAAAGAUGUCAUGUGCUGAAAGAAUUAUUCCAUCAGCUACAAAGAGCAUAUUCUAACAGAAUUGGAGAGCUGGCUGUCCUUCAUUGUUCUCAGUACUUUGAGCUAACUAAAUGAGGCCAGUUGUCACCCCAUUCUAGAACAUUCUAGUAUGGAUUCUAUCCAAUUUCAAAAUUAUCUACCCCUUUAUGACCCCCUUGAGUUUUCUUUUGUUCAAUUCGCCCCCAAGAAGUUCCUACUGAUUCACAAAUUUAGGCAAACAAAGAUAAGACUGGAAAGGAUCGGAAUACAAAUCAAAAUGGCAAACAAAAAUUAAAAAUGAUGCAAUUUAGACUAAGAACCUAAUCAGUAAAGGAAAGUGUUUUAUCUAAUUAAACCUAAAUAAAACGAAACUUAAACGGCUAAUGGAUUUUUCACAGUAACUAAACCAAAUUAUUAGGAAAAACUACAAAGAAAUCCUAGAAGUUAAAUUACUCAAUUUAUGAAUUAACAUGUGAAAAUUUAGAAUACAUGAGAGGAGCAGUUAAACAAGAGAAUUGAAAAAAAGACAGAAUAAACAAUUCACCAUUAGUUAAUCUAAACAUGUGCAAAAUUGAAAUGAAGUCCUAGCAUACUUUAAUUAAUCUAAUGAAUAACGUGUAAACAAACAAAUAACAAUUUAAAAUAAGAAAACCCCUAAAAUUAUGCGGUUAAAUAGAAAAAAUUAAACACGAAGAGGAAUCAACAAAGAAAAAAGAAAAAUAAAGAAAAGGUGGAAGAAGCUAUUCAUUUUUAAACCAAACUGGACAAACUAACAAAUCUUAGCCAAGCUUUGAAAGGUAAAAUGAACAUUGAACUAACAUUAAUCGACGGUUCUCAUCAAGAACAGUCGACUAAUGAAAGCUUGGGGUUCAAUUGACCAAACUAUAACCGAAAACCAACAAAGGGUACAAGAUUAGGGUUCAGAGGAC
rnacentral:lncRNA from 1 species